AUCAAAAUGAGUCUCUGAAACUCAUGACGAAGAUAAUGAAAGAAUGUUGGUUUGAAAACCCCUCUUCCAGGCUGACUGCCCUCAGAAUAAAAAAAACUCUCGGGGUGUUCAACUCUCAAGACCUUCUUGAGGAUCAGAAGGCAAAGCUGAAAUUAGCUGUGGAAACCUCCACUAGU